rnacentral:rRNA from 1 species
UACGGAGGGUGCAAGCGUUAUCCGGAUUCACUGGGUUUAAAGGGCGCGUAGGCGGGAUGGCAAGUCGGUCGUGAAAUCCUUCGGCUCAACCGAAGAACGUCGGCCGAUACUGCCGUUCUUGAGGGAUGCAGAGGAGAUUGGAAUUCCCGGUGUAGCGGUGAAAUGUGUAGAGAUCGGGAGGAACACCGGUGGCGAAGGCGGGUCUCUGGGCAUCUCCUGACGCUGAGGCGCGAAAGCCAGGGGAGCGAACGGG